CCUCUUAAAGAUUCUACGACCCUUCAGAAACACUACUGCGGGCAGCAAGCCUUUCAUACAAGCACAUUCGCAGAACAUUCCAGAUCCCAUCUUUAGGGAUAUCUCUAUAUCAUUGAAGUCAUCAUACUGCUGAGAAAAGCAGAUAGGGUGUGCUGAGCUGGGAAACAGAUGAAGCAACAGAAGAACAGCAGAAAAAGCAGUCACUGCCUUUCCAGGGGCAGCAGCAGGAAGAGGGCAGCUGCAGACAGAAACAGGCCUGGGAACUUUAAGGACAAGAUGCACUGACUUCUACCAGUAGCUGCCGCAGAAAGCAGCUAUGGACAAUUAAAUUAUAAGCCUCCGUGAUGUGCACCUCUAUUAAAGUGUUCUUGAUGUUUCUGGUUUCUAAUUCAGGAAA